UGAGGAAUAUUGGUCAAUGGGCGAGAGCCUGAACCAGCCAAGUAGCGUGCAGGAAGACGGCCCUAUGGGUUGUAAACUGCUUUUAUGUGGGGAUAAAGUGCGUGACGUGUCAUGCAUUGCAGGUACCACAUGAAUAAGGACCGGCUAAUUCCGUGCCAGCAGCCGCGGUAAUACGGAAGGUCCGGGCGUUAUCCGGAUUUAUUGGGUUUAAAGGGAGCGUAGGCUGUCUAUUAAGCGUGUUGUGAAAAAUACCGGCUCAACCGGUGGCUUGCAGCGCGAACUGGUCGACUUGAGUAUGCAGGAAGUAGGCGGAAUUCAUGGUGUAGCGGUGAAAUGCUUAGAUAUCAUGACGAACUCCGAUUGCGAAGGCAGCUUACGGGAGCGCAACUGACGCUGAAGCUCGAAGGUGCGGGUAUCGAACAGG
rnacentral:rRNA from 1 species